rnacentral:rRNA from 1 species
UACGUAGGGUGCGAGCGUUGUCCGGAAUUAUUGGGCGUAAAGGGCUCGUAGGCGGUUUGUCGCGUCGGGAGUGAAAACCCAGGGCUUAACCCUGGGCUGGCUUCCGAUACGGGCAGACUAGAGGUAUGCAGGGGAGAACGGAAUUCCUGGUGUAGCGGUGAAAUGCGCAGAUAUCAGGAGGAACACCGGUGGCGAAGGCGGUUCUCUGGGACGGUACUGGCGCUGAGACGCGAAAGCGUGGGGAGCGAACAGG